GGGGGGUGGAGGCGGCGGAGAAAGGAAGGAACUGACGGGCCAUGGACGGACAGACGGCCUGGGCUGGGGGAAGGGAAGGAGGCCCGGGAACCUGCAGCUGGGGUCGGAGGGGGCGCAGAGACAAGGAGACAGAAAGACGCAGAGGAGACUCUUGGAGAAGAGGACAACGGAUGGGCCGUCAAGGGCUGGCGAGGACGCGCGGGCUGCUCCAGGGGUGGGGACUCCUCUAACCCUUGGCCCCGGCGCAGUCACGCCGGGGCCGCCCGGCCGCGAACGCCCGCGGGGAGCGGGAGAGGGUUUGCUCUGGCUACGGAGCUGGGAGCAGGGUGCUGGUGACCGGGCUCCCGGCACCUACUCAGUACCCUUCACCCAACCCCUGCCUCGGGCGUGGACUCCCGGCGGAGGCUCUGGGAGCCGGGCUGAGGGCUUGAGCCUAGCGUAUUUGGGAGAACUGGAGAGAGGAGUCUCAGAUGGCUAAAGUCAGGGGCGCCAGUUGGAGAGCCGGUGGCUCCUCCGAUACUCACACGCCCGGAUUUAACCAGUUCAGGGAGGGCCCAGAACCUAGACCUCCACCAGUCAUGGUGGGCUGUGUCGCCCACCUCCCCAGGGCAACCCAGAUCCAGCCCCCAACCUACCCCGAGCCCAUUCCUGUGUGGGCACCCGGACCCUACCCUUGCCCCACAGAGUGGCCCGCAGCCCCUGGCGGGGAGAGCCAGGGCUGUGAUUGGGGCCCAACAGAAACAGGAUAUUCAGAAGGGGCUUUCUCUCCUGAGGGACCACAUCUCCAAGCUUCAGACUUCCAACAAGUCCCAGGGCACGGACGUGACCCAUUACGAACAGGCAGUGAAACUGUGGCAGGGCUGGAGCUGCCCCAGGCUCUGGCAUCAUCCCCGAGGGCUGGAGCUCACUCCCCGCUACAGGCUUUUCCGGACCCCACGUCCACAGGCAGGUGCAUCUGAUGAAGCUGUCGGGCACGAACCCAGCACAGAAACAGCUUCCUCCAGGAAGCCUUCCCCGGCCCACCUGAACAACCAUUUCCUCCUCUGGGCUAUUGAGCAACCUGUGUAUCCUUCCAUCACACCAACACUGCUGAUUUUUGUCUGUGCAAGAAUCUGUCCCCCGCCCUUCACCAACAGACCGUGAGCCUCGAGGGCCCAUACCCUUUCUGAUUCAUCUCCACGAGCCAGUACAGAGGAGGUGCUCAAAGAAUGUUUGUUGAUUGAAUGAGUAAAUGACAUUUAGCAGGUGCUCAGGAAAUGUACAUUGAUUUGCAUCAUGUGUCUGUUGCUCUGAAUGACUCAGAAACCAGAUUCGUCUCCUGGUUCCUCUGGAAAAGGCAUUUUCUUCCUGAUUGACUCCACCCUCCAUUAGCUUCCACCUGCCGUUUGCCUCCACCCUUUGAUUAGCCUUCCCCGCAGGUCACCACCCACGGUGGGGAGAAGGCACCUCCUCUCUGCUCUUGCUGUUGCCAAGCUUAGAACUGGUUGGGGCCCCCGUUCCCUCCCCCAGCCCGAGCCUGCCUUUGCUCAGAACACUUCGUCUCUGCCUCUCUCUCCUGCUCAGAACAGAUGGCUCUGAGUCCCCACUAACACAGAAGUUCCUGUUCUGCCAUUUGAACAUUUUUAACACUUUCUACAUUACAGAAGCUUCAGUCUCUUUUCAUCAUGGAUGCAGACUAUCAGAAAUAAAGACUCCACCGAAGGGCAUCGAGUCCAGCCUCUUCCCCAUCCUAUGGAGAGGCUGCACCUCAGAGAUGGCCACCGAGAUAUUGUAGUGGAUGCUACCUUUGUUUUUGUUUUCUGUCAUCUUGUUUUCUUCUUCUUCUUUUUUUUUUUCCGUUGGAGUGCAGUGGUGCCAUCUCCCUUCACGACGAACUCCACCUCGCAUACCCAGGAUCAAGGGAUCCUCCCACCUCAGCCUCCCAGAGCUGGGACCACAGAUGCGUGCCACCACGCCCAGUACAGCGCAGUCAGCAGGAAGCAGCCGCCCCCCAGGGCGAUGACAAAGGCGCAGCACAGGAAGCUCUGCUGCAGGCUGAGGAAACGCUGCAACACGUCUUACAAGUCCUGUGAGAUAGGGGCUGCCAGCGUCUCCCAGGAUGUGGCCCACCGUGAUCUGAAGUGCCUCUGCUGUCCCCCGGCACCUGGGCACCACCACAGACUGCAAAACAUAGGCACAGCAGGGGGGCACCCCAAGUGAGGGCACCCUUGCCUGCUGUUCCCCACCUGCCAAGCACCUGUCUGGAGGAGUGACAGGCCAUUCAGGUGAGUGGGAUGGGAGGGAGUCGACGGUCCCCAAGGUCUAAAGUCCCACCCCAGAACAUCAAGCCCAUCUGAAGCUUCCCCAGUGCCCCAGGAUGGGGGUGCCAAGGCCCCUGAUCAGGGCCACCCCUCUUGAGAGUUUGCUCUUGAACUGGGAAGGAACCAGGCAUGCAUGUGACCACAGUGAAUGGGGCUGGGGUGUCCCAGCUCAGGGGCCCAGGACGCAGCAGCGCAAGCGGGCGGGGCGAAGAGUGGGUGCAUGCCAGGUGUCUGCAUGUGCGGGCAAUUGGGCAGGGGUGGUACGGAGGGCUCAGUCCUUUCAGGAACCUCAAGGCCCCUGGGGCAGAGAUCAAAGGCAGCCUUGCUGGAGAAGCCCGCACGACUCCACGGACAAGGCUGAGAACAUUAACAAGAUGAACUCUGGGCCAGGCGCGGUGGCUCACGUCUGUAAUCCCAGCACUUUGGGAGGCCGAGGCGGGUGGAUCACCCGAGGUCAGGAGGUCAAGACCAGCCUGGCAACAUGGUGAAACCCUGUCUCUACUAAAAAUACAAAAACUAGCCGGCAUGGUGGCACAUGCCUGUAAUCCCAGCUACUCGGGAGGCUGAGGCAGGAGAAUUGCUUGAACACGGGAGGCAGAGGUUGCAGUGAGCUGAGAUCGUACCACUGCAAUCCAACCUGGGCAACAAGAGCAAAAUCCCAUCUCAAAAAAAAAAAAAAAAAAAAGAACUCUGGUGUCACACUCUCGGGUUCCGAUCCAGAUCUCCACUCGCUAGCUGUGUGACUUUGAGCAAGCUGCUUCACCUUUCUUCCCUCAGUCUCUCCAUCCCCAAAUGGGGGUAAUAAUGGUACUGAUCUUGAGAGUUUUACUCAUUAUCGUUAUUCGUCUGCUACCUGGAGGCUUCGUGUGGACAUCAGACCAAAAUAACGCUCUGAGACAGAAUGCUCCAGGCCCUUGAACUCAGCUGCGCCUUCUGCCUGGCGUGCCUUCCACUCUCUGGUCCAGCUGGAGCAUCUCUAUUUGUCAUUUAGGACUUACAUUUCGGUCAUCUCCUCUGUGAAGCCCUCUCAGAGUUCAGGUACCUGUCCUGAGCUCCCGCAACUCCUAUGCACACCCCUAAUUAACGCAUGUCUCCCAGAACUGGGAGGGGCCCUUUCUCUGUCCACCACCCCUUAUUCCCUAUGUUGUGUGGGCAACAAAGACCCUUAAUUUCUCUUGGGGUCCCUGCAAGACACCAGGCACAGAGGGGACUAGCUGAAAGUUUGCCAACCAAAUAACUCAAGUAGGUCCAUCUGGGAGACUAUUCCCAGGAGAAAGUCUGCCAGAACCCAGGGCUACAGCAGGGGAUGGAAGGAGGGAGGGGGAGGGGACUCAAGCAGAGACCACAUGGUCACAUGAACCCAACUGGACAGCCAGAGGGGCGCUUACACCCUGGAGCCUUAUCCCCAAGACCUAGGUGUCCAUUAUCUGAGGCCUUGAGUUAAUCAAUAUUAGCUGGGCACAGUGGCUCACGCCUGUAAUCCCAGCACUUUGGGAGACUGAGGCAGGUGGAUCACUUGAGGUCAGGAGUUCAAGACCAGCCUGGCCAACAUGGCAAAAUCCCAUCUCUACUAAAAAUACAAAAAUUAGCUGGGUGUGGUGGCAGGUGCCUAUAAUCCCAGCUACUCGGGAGGCUGAGGCAGGAGAAUCGCUUGAACCCGGGAGGUGGAGGUUCUAGUGAGCCGAGGUGGCACCACUAUACUCCAGCCUGAGUGAAAGAGCAAGAUCCUGUCUCAAAAAAUAAUAAUAAAAUAAUAAUAAUUACCAA
rnacentral:lncRNA from 1 species